GUUGUACUUGUGGAUCUCCCUUUGCUUCUUGUCCAACUCGUAAGAGGGAAGCUUCCGGAAGGUGGCCUGACCAGGCUCCUGGAACCUUCUGUGGCCGGCUGAGUAAUGGGCUCUGAAGACAUCCAUGCCCUGAUCUCCGAGGCCUGUGAAGGUGUCAGCAGAAUGGAGCUGGGUAUGGGAACCCUGAAUGAUGUACCUGGGGUACAGGUGCAGGUGGGGCCAUUCUGGUCAUUCUUUACACGGCAGGCGCCGAACAGCCCAAGUUCAUCUUCUGGUCCAGCUGCUUCUGAGGUGAGCUGUGGCUCAGUGCCCCCGUCUGUGAAUACAAAGAGUGGUGCCAGCUUGACUUCCGGCCUCAGUGUCUCUUCUGAGAAACGGGCACAGGCCCUCAUGUCCCUCCCAGAGAGGAAAGGGGCCACUGUGAAGCAGCCAGCACCCUCCUGCGCACUUCAGUCCUGGCACAUGACCCAUCCCUCUGCACAGGCGGAGGCCGGAAGCAAGGACUGACCGCUGGCAGGGCAGCUGCUGCCUCAGCUGAGCACACACGUGCUCCUGUCUACCACAGCUGUGUUGCCCAAUGCUCCAUGCUAGCACCUGCACGGAGGGGCUCUGCAGACAGGCCGAGGUCCAUGGUGCCUAUGGGGCCUCCUGUGACCUGGAUGUCCACUCACGCCAACGUCUGCUGCGUUGUCUGCUGACAUCACAGCAGUGCCCACGCUUCGGGCCCCUGGAGUUUUCCAGGGACACUGGGACAAGCAGCAGAUGUGGAUCCAGUGAUCUCAUCUUACAAAAUCUGAAACACAUCAUGGCCAGGAUAUGGCACCCAUCUGGCUUCAUUUGUCACCAGGAUGCUGUUCUGCCACAUGGGCUGAUGUGGUGUUUUUGCAAGAAGGAUAUUUCUGACCCAGCUCCGAAUCUGAGGAUGCUUGUCCUGGAACCCUGCUCCCACAGGUAAGGAUGCCGGACUCCGCCCUCGUGGACAAGCCCCGUGGAGGUGCUGUGGAAAGCGACCAGCUCAGCCCACAGAAAGCCCGCAGCCACUGCCAGUCACGUGAGCGGGACCACGGAGUCCACCCCCCCCGGACAAACAUUCCACCCUCCGCGGCCUGAGUCCCUGCCCUGCGGGGCCCACAGCGCUGGUUCUCUGCCUGUUCUCUGCCCUGGCGCUGACAGCAACCGGAAGACGAUCCUGCAUCCUGCAGCCGUUUGCUGAGCACCUACUGUAUGCUAAGGAUGCUGGGAAAGAACGAGGAAUUGGCCCGGAGUCCAGGCUGGCUGAGCCGGUUCCUGCUGCCGGCGGAAUUAGCUGCGUCAUCCCUGCGGCCGGGCUGGCCACGUGGCCAGAGAUGGCCAGUCAGAGCGCAGAUCUUUGGGCUGCAGUGAUUGGCUCACGGGUUGGCACGUGACCCACUUCCAGCCAAUAGCCAUCAGGCGGAGAGCUGGUUCACACAGGGUCAGAGGGUCCGAUCCGUAGACGAAGGGGCGUCGAGUCGGCGCUAGGCUGUCCACCUCUCUGCUUGCCUCGUCCUCUGGUCUCGUCUGGUCGGCGGCGAUGCUCCUCCCAGCGGGAUCAGGUGUGCAGAUGUCUUGGUCGGUAGUCAGAUCAGCAGAUAGUCAGGUCAGCAGAUUGACUGGUCGACUGGUCGGUGGGACGGAUCGUCGACUUGCUUGAGGUCUUCAGCUCCUUUUAUACUAUUCUAACUGGGCGUUCGUGGUAUUGGUUCAGACUUAUCACACUGUCCAUUUCGGGGUACACCCUGUCCAGUUCAGUGUACGCCCUGUCCAGUUCAGGGCACACCCUUAUCAGUUCCAUACCGCUUAAGGUUCUACUUUCAUAUCUCAUGGUUACACAUCAUUAUGUUAUACUUAGGUUACAGCACUCUUAAAGUCACAGGACACUUUAGGGUUACAGCACACUUAGGGUUAUACAAUUCCAUCUUAUUUCAAGGUGUUCUCCACACCUGCGUUUGGGGUUCCAAAGGUGCCCACAGUCCUUGGCUUGUGGAUCUUCCCUCCGUCUUCAGAGCCACAAGCCCAGGGUCCCAGCCCUGUGUCCUGGCGUCUCCUGGUGAUAUAGCUGGAAAGGCCUGAGUCUGCGUACUUAGUGGUUAGCCAGGCCCACGGGGUUGGGCCAGGAUCCCACCCACGCAGAGUCCGGGACCCCACUUCCCAGAGCCCACGUGCGUGACAGUCACGGCUUCCCCGUGUGAGACGUGACAUUGGCAGCAGGAACAGUGCUGUUCUGCCGCCAGGGCCACAAUGAGUGGCAUUUCCUAGACACUGCAGGAUUUAUGGAGGACUAAAGGGUUGUGGAAAUGUUUACAGAGUCCAAGAAAGCGUGAGAGAGGUACAGCGGCCACACCUCGGAAGGUUUGCAACUUGAGAUUAUUUUAGAUUUCCGUGGGGAAUGACGGGCAAUUCAGGCUCCUUGCUGGCAGCCAGAGUAGGAGUCAUUCUUCCUCCUUUGAAUUUUAGAAAAGAUGCGUCCAAAAUAUACAGGGUCAGUGGAGUCUGAGUGUGAGAGGCCUCAGGCAGCGGUGACUCCCCAGGAAGGGGCUAGCGGGGCUGCAGCUGGCGCAGAGCAGGAACCAGUGUCCCCUGCAGGAGCCCCUGGCCACAAGCCAAGGUGCAAGCCCCGGGGACCUCGCCUUGGGGCUCAGUGUUCGAGGCACAAGCCCCAUGCUCGCUGUGGCCUGAGUUCCACCACCCUGGCUCCCCGACUCUGAGCGUCUCCCUGACUGCUGUGGGCCGCAGGCCCGUCCAUCUCCUGCCUGGAUCCCCUCAUCUCAAGGAGCCCGGCCCCCGUACUCAGGGACUCUCCCUCCUCCCAGCCCCUGGGCAUUAUGGACCUGCUUCCUGUCUGCCUGUGGAGUCCCUGCCCUGGACACUGGUGCUAGGAAACCCCACAGCAUGUGGCCUUCCUCCCCCCUGCCCUGUGCCCAGGCUCCUACAUGUUGCUGCCUAGACCAGCCCUUCUUCCUCUCUGGGGCCGGGCCUGGGUGAGCUCCUCUUGCCUGGAUGCAGGGAGUGUGUAUCCAUCUGUGCACUGCAGGCCUGGGCUGCCUCUCUGGGGUCACUGGUGCAGUUCAGAAAUGCCCCAGGCUGGGGGACCUCUGGGGGACCUUCCUGUGCCCUCCUUCUCCUGAGGGGACUUGGGGCACACAGGUGUCAGGGAGCCUGUCCCCACCCUCCAGUCCAGCACAGAUCUCAUAGAGGACCCUAGGCAGGAGCUUGCAGGGCCACAUGAUGGAAAGUGGCAUCCACCAGUGGCUGCCACCAGAGCUGGGGGCCUAGAGCAGCCCUGAGAUGCUUCACACGGGGCCUAGGGUGACCCUCGAGAGUACCAGACAUGGGGGGCAGAGAGGGGUUGCUCCAGCUGCCAGGGCUGUGCAUGGGGCUCUCCCAGCCAUGGCAGAGGGGACACAGCAGCACGGGCCCUGUGGAAGGACAUAGCACACCCUCCAGUGACACUGAUGGGCAGGCAGGGCAGGGGCAGGAGGAGGAAUUCCCCUCAGCCUCCCGGGCUCAGCCUCAGGCCCUGCAUGUCCCCAGCUGUGCUCGUGGAGGCCUGUGGCCACCGGCAGAGUGUGGCUAGCGUGUAUGCGUGUGUAGGCAGGUGUGGGAGGAGGCAGGUGUGCGUGUGUGCUGCCUUGUGAGCAUGAAUGUUUGUGUCUCAGUGAACAUGCCUGUGUGUGCAUGUGUGCGGGAGCCCGUGAUUGUAUGAGCAAGUAAGCACGUGUGUGCAUGUGUAAGCGGGGGUAUGAACGUGAAUGUGUGGCUGUGUGAGAGAGUGUGUCAGGGCACAGUUGCAGACAUGCGGUGUGUCGAAUUGGACCAGCACAGAUCCAGGGAGGCCAGCUGGGAUUCAGGGCCGCAGAAGAGGCGGACAGGGCGGUGACAGGAGGAAGGGGCCAGCGAGCACUGGGAGUCCCUGGGGCCCAGGAGCCCGAGCGGGAGUGGUGUGGGCAGGUCAAGUGUCCCUGUGUCCCUGGCCGCAAGGCAGCACCAUUGUCAUCCUGCAGAUGAAGGCUCC
ensembl:lncRNA